rnacentral:rRNA from 1 species
UACGAAGGGGGCUAGCGUUGUUCGGAAUUACUGGGCGUAAAGCGCACGUAGGCGGAUAUGUAAGUCAGGGGUGAAAUCCCGGGGCUCAACCUCGGAACUGCCUUUGAUACUGCAAAUCUUGAGUCCGAAAGAGGUGAGUGGAAUUCCUAGUGUAGAGGUGAAAUUCGUAGAUAUUAGGAAGAACACCAGUGGCGAAGGCGGCUCACUGGUCCGGUACUGACGCUGAGGUGCGAAAGGCGUGGGAGCAAACAGG